rnacentral:rRNA from 1 species
UACAGAGGAUGCAAGCGUUAUCCGGAAUGAUUGGGCGUAAAGCGGGUGUAGGCGGAUGCCUAAGUACCUUGUGAAAUCCCACGGCUCACCCGUGGAACUGCUUGGUAUACUGGGUGUCUUGAGCCACUUAGGGGCUACCGGAACAAAUGGUGGAGCGGUGAAAUGCGUAGAUAUCAUUUGGAACGCCAAUGGUGAAAACAGGUAGCUGGGAGUGUGCUGACGCUGAGACACGAAAGCCAGGGGAGCAAACGGG